UGCUUUCAAAACUACUAGGCUAGAGUAUCAGAGGGGAUGGCGGAAUUCCUAGUGUAGAGGUGAAAUUCGUAGAUAUUAGGAAGAACACCGGUGGCGAAAGCGGCCAUCUGGCUGAUUACUGACGCUGUUGUACGAAAGCGUGGGGAGCAAACAGGAUUAGAUACCCUGGUAGUCCACGCAGUAAACGAUGAGUGCUAGAUGUUGGGGGUUUUUCCUCAGUGUCGCAGCUAACGCGUUAAGCACUCCGCCUGGGGAGUACGGUCGCAAGAUUAAAACUCAAAGGAAUUGACGGGGACCCGCACAAGCGGUGGAACAUGUGGUUUAAUUCGAUGCUACGCGAAAAACCUUACCAGAUCUUGACAUGAUAGUCGUACGGCUAGGAAACU
rnacentral:rRNA from 1 species